AGGCCUGUCCCACUGAGAAGCCCCAGAACACAUAUCCCAGGGGCAUUCCAAAAGAGUGGAGGAGUCAAAGAUUCAGUGGAUUAACAGAGCCUUGUGAGCUUCACUUCACAGUGAGGAAUGGGGGGCAGGCACAUGAUAAAGCCAUUUCCCUCAAAGAGCUUACUUGAGGGUAUAAGACAUGUUACUUGGGGGUAUAAAACAUGUUAAAAAGAAAUAUUGCAAGUUUAAAAAUAGUAGAAGGCCGGGUGCAGUAGCUCACACCUGUAAUCCCAGCACUUUGGGAGCCCAAGGCAGGAGGAUGCCUUGAGCCCAGGAGUUCAAGACCAGCCUAGACAACAUGACGAAACCCAGGUGUCUACAAAAAUACAAGAAGUCCCAGCUAUGGGAGGCCGAGGUGUAAGGACGGAUCGCUUGGUCCCAGGAGGUCCAGGCUGCAAUGAGCCAUGAUUGUACCACUGCACUGCAGCGUGGGUGACAGAGUGAGGCCCUGUCCUCCCUCCCUCACCACAAAGGAAAAAAAAAAAAAACAGUAGAAGACAAAUACAAGAGGUCAUACAUAGAGUGUUGGGUGUGUAGAGUCUGGGACACAGAAGAUAAAUCCUCAGUCUUGUCCAAGAUCAGGAGAAUAAGAAGACUCUACCCCCCUAAAACCAGAAGUCCAAAGGGCCAAAGUAAAGGCGAAUGUGAAAUUAACUGGCUUUGCAGAAGAGGAUCCCAGGAAAAAUCGUCUGUCUUGAUCAAAGCCCUGAAUAAAAGAGUAUAAAAAAUAUUCUUCCUUGAAAAUUCACAACUAUGGUGUGGUCCGUAUGUAAUAUUAUGACCAAAAUUCAUGAUACCAUGGAAUUAUUUUAAAAACUUCAUGAGCCCCAGUUUGUGGUGCUUUUAACAACUGGCAGAAGGAAAGACACAUCCUCUUGGAGGGCUAUCUUGAGCCUAGGCCCCAAAGAACUUCCAUAAUCAUAAUCAGAAAACACAAAACAUAUAAUAAGCAAGGCUCCAUGUAGGAGCAGACAGAAACAAAAUGUAAGGUCAGAUACACAAAGGCUGGGGUAUGAGAAUAAGCUGACACAGAAAAUAAGUGUACUUAAUAGGUUUAAACAAAAAGGAAGUUUGAAAAUAGAAGAAAGGAACAAGAGUCUAUAAAAAACAACUGAGUAGAUUUGAAAUCAAAAUACUUCUUUGUUUUUCUUCCCAGCUAGAUAUUAUGUCCUUGAAGACACAGGGAUCAGGCUAAACACUAUAUGUUAUCGUUUGUCAAUUGAAGGAAGUUAGAAACAAAGUACUCAAUUUUUUUUGAAACCCAGCAGUAAGAAUGAGAGUUGUGACUACAUUUUUAAAAUGUAAAUGUAAAAACUCCUGUUGUAAAUGUUAAUCAAUCUCUUCUAGAGGAAAGGAAGACAAAAUCAAAAUUAAUGCAAUGCUUCCGGCUGACUGGCCUCCAGCAAAUGGCAUUGAGCUUUGUAAGUGGUCCAUCUACUCCAUUUCUCAUCUUGCAAA
rnacentral:lncRNA from 1 species